rnacentral:rRNA from 1 species
GUUGGCGAUAUACUGUCAGCGGCCAAGCGAAAGUAUUAAGUGAUGCACCUGGGGGGUACGCCGGCAGCGGUGAAACUCAAAGGAAUUGACGGGGGCCCGCACAAGCGGUGGAGCAUGUGGUUUAAUUCGAUGAUACGCGAGGAACCUUACCAGGGCUUAAAUGUAGUAUGACCGGCUUAGAAAUAGGCCUUCUCUUCGGAGCAGAUUACAAGGUGCUGCAUGGUUGUCGUCAGCUCGUGCCGUGAGGUGUUAGGUUAAGUCCUGCAACGAGCGCAACCCCUAUUCUUAGUUGCCAGCGGUUCGGCCGGGGACUCUAAGAAGACUGCCAGCGCAAGCUGAGAGGAAGGUGGGGAUGACGUCAAAUCAUCACGGCCCUUACGUCCUGGGCUACACACGUGCUACAAUGGUAGAGACAGAGGGCAGCCACCUGGUGACAGGGAGCGAAUCCUUAAACUCUAUCUCAGUUCGGAUCGAAGUCUGCAACUCGACUUCGUGAAGCUGGAAUCGCUAGUAAUCGCGCAUCAGCCAUGGCGCGGUGAAUACGUUCCCGGGCCUUGUACACACCGCCCGUCAAGCCAUGGAAGCUGGGGGCACCUGAAGUCGGUAACCGUAAGGAGCCGCCUAGGGUGAAACUGGUAACUAGGGCU